rnacentral:lncRNA from 1 species
CCGUGGGGUCCCGGCAGCCCGCAGGAGUGCUAAAUGAUAAUACAGGAUGGAGUGGAUCAGAAAACACACUGAGGCUACUGAUCAUUCCCAUUUGCCAACUCACUGCAGUUGGCAAGAAAACUCUGUGACUCCAUGAGAUGGGAAAUUACACCAGCAGUCAAGGUAGCAAGAUUUGGAACUUGAAGAUGAAUUUUUCUUCCUCAUCAAAGGAAUAUCUAAUACUGCCUUCAAAUGAAUAAAAUUGAGUUUAUUCUA